GUCCAUGCCGUAAACGAUGAUUACUAGGUGUUGGGGAUUGACCCCCUCAGUGCCGCAGUUAACACAAUAAGUAAUCCACCUGGGGAGUACGACCGCAAGGUUGAAACUCAAAGGAAUAGACGGGGACCCGCACAAGCGGUGGAGCAUGUGGUUUAAUUCGACGAUACACGAAGAACCUUACCUGGACUUGACAUAGUAAGAACUUUCUAGAGAUAGAUUGGUGUCUGCUUGCAGAAACUUAUAUACAGGUGCUGCACGGCUGUCGU
rnacentral:rRNA from 1 species